rnacentral:rRNA from 1 species
UACGAAGGGGGCUAGCGUUGUUCGGAAUUACUGGGCGUAAAGCGCGCGCAGGCGGUCUUCCAAGUCAGUGGUGAAAGCCCGGAGCUCAACUCCGGAAUUGCCAUUGAAACUGUUGGUACUGAGGAUGAGAGAGGUGAGUGGAAUUCCCAGUGUAGAGGUGAAAUUCGUAGAUAUUGGGAAGAACACCGGUGGCGAAGGCGGCUCACUGGCUCAUUACUGACGCUCAGGCGCGAUAGCGUGGGGAUCAAACAGG